UCUAAACUUCGCUGUGUGCAGUCCUGUGUGCAGUCCUGUGUGAGUACAUGUACAUGUACAUGUACAUGUAUAUACAGUGGUACUGUGUGUACCAGGGCGUGGCCCAUGAUUUAAAAAGCCAGUUUAUCCUGCAAACUGGCUUUUCCCUGUGGGAAUAGAGAAUUCCUAGGUUCUUGGUGAACCAGAUAGCUUGUUCUGUGUGAACAACAGUUAGCCAACUCCCAAGACUAGCUCACGGUCUACCGAGAGAGUCAGGAGGAAUAUUCGGAACCGAGUCCUGUGUGGACCGUCAGGCAUCGAGCCAGAUUCCAAGGCCCGGAGAGGUAACCCAAGUUCCCCAAGCCCGGAGUUCAUCCGCCUUAGUGGGAUCGUCAAAGCGCCGGAGGGAUGUUGUGUGUGUGACUGGUGCUCCAAAUCGACCACCCGUGUCACAAGUGUGAGCUUUGAACACAGCAAGUCCUUCAAAAGGUUUUGAACAGUGACUGUUUAGGGGGGUGAUUGCAUUUGUUUUGGGGUAUUGGAAACGGCCGUAUAACACAUAAUACAGGAUCCUUAUAAUGCCAUGAUAUAGUUGAGUAUCCGUCACUCAAAGUAUAAGUAAUUCAUAUAGUGGCAUAAUUCAAUUGAAAUAAUUUGUACAUAGUAAAUUUCCGUUUGUUUAAUAUAUUUAUUUGUCGUAAUUAAAUAGUAUUUUGUCUUGAUCAUACA